rnacentral:piRNA from 1 species
UGCCACAGAGACCUUAAAGCCGGAGGAGC